AUGUUCUUGCUGCUGCUUUUUCUUGGCACAGAGAGCCUGAAAUACCUUUUGAGAGCAAAGACAUGUUUCAGCCAUACUCAUUUGAGCACACAGAGGUCUCAGCUUGUUCUCCAGACACGUUCUGGGUCAUACCCUGGUCUUAACCAGGCUCUGAGGAUGUGCAUACACAUGAAGGAUUGUGAUCAGGUGUUGGGUCACUUCGGUAAUACUAUCCAGGGGCAAGCUGGGUGGAAAUUCCAGAGGGAUCACCUCCUGUACACAUUAAAUGCUGAGGGCCUGGGCACGGACCAGUGCUUGUCAGAGGUGUUCACUUUCCAGGGGGCUGCCAACUCAGCCUGGAGUCAUGGAGGAAGGGCCACACUGUGGAAGAGUCCAAGGCUUCUGGUCCUGAGCAGAAGUGAGAAAAGCUUCUCAGAGGGAUGGAAGAGGCUGAGAGCAGAGGGGCAAUCCACAACAUGGGGUCCCUUAUGCAGGCCCACAGAUCCACUCCUGCUUCUCCCCGUCUUCUCCAGCAGACUCUCCUCAAGGCCAAGCCCUCCUGUCACUUGUCCCUCUUUUUGCUGCUGUUGUGGGGCUCUGAGCCCUAUUUCAGCCUCCUGCACCACAUGCCAGCUCCAAGAGAUCACUCAGGAAGGACAAGAAAAAGCUGCAUCCCAAGGAACCCACUGGUGUGUUGCCCCUUCACAGGACCUGUCAUCACUCAGGUAACUGACUGCAUCCACCUGGGGAACAUCGACAGUGGGAAGGGCUGUGCCUGAACAGCACCAACAGCUUCAGCAGUGACAGCUUCAGCAGUGACAGCUUCACUGACAUGAGCUGCCUGCCCAGCGAUGGCAGCCUGAGUGUCAUCCCCUACCUCUGCCACAGAGAGGGUUCUGCUCACACCUCAUGGCUGACAUGUGGGCUCUGCUCCAUGGGGACUGUCCUGGAAUGAGGAAGCCCUGUUUGUGGGACAUCGAAAUUCCACCAGAAAAAGGGGAUUGUGUCCUCAUCCACUGCUGGGAUGGCUUCUCCCCAGGUUCCAUGUGCAACAUUGUUUAGUUGAUGGUCAAACAGAGCAUGAAGCAGCUGUCAGCUUAGGAGUUUGUGAUGUAUCUGCUGAACAUGAGGAGUGUCAUCAGAACCUGCUG
rnacentral:lncRNA from 1 species